GACGAACGCUGGCGGCGUGCCUAAUACAUGCAAGUUGAGCGCUGAAGGUUGGUACUUGUACCGACUGGAUGAGCAGCGAACGGGUGAGUAACGCGUGGGGAAUCUGCCUUUGAGCGGGGGACAACAUUUGGAAACGAAUGCUAAUACCGCAUAAAAACUUUAAACACAAUUUUUAAGUUUGAAAGAUGCAAUUGCAUCACUCAAAGAUGAUCCCGCGUUGUAUUAGCUAGUUGGUGAGGUAAAGGCUCACCAAGGCGAUGAUACAUAGCCGACCUGAGAGGGGGAUCGGCCACAUUGGGACUGAGACACGGCCCAAACUCCUACGGGAGGCAGCAGUAGGGAAUCUUCGGCAAUGGACGAAAGUCUGACCGAGCAACGCCGCGUGAGUGAAGAAGGUUGUCGGAUCGUAAAACUCUGUUGGUAGAGAAGAACGUUGGUGAGAGUGGAAAGCUCAUCAAGUGACGGUAACUACCCAGAAAGGGACGGCUAACUACGUG
rnacentral:rRNA from 1 species